CCCUGACGGCCGCAUUCCGCGGUCGACAAGCCAAGACAGGAGAAUAUCAUG
rnacentral:sRNA from 12 species